rnacentral:lncRNA from 1 species
UAAUCCCGCUGUGUCAGGAGUCUGACAAAGCUGUUGAGACUCUGUCACAAGAAUUCUUUGAGUCAAUAAAGCAAGGUCUGCCUCCCUGGUGGUAGCCUACCAUAGCCCUGCAAUUUAAGGUCAGCACAGACAACACGAGCCAACCCCCAACUUUUUAAAAAGAGUCUGAGAAUGUAUUGAAAUAUUCAUUAACUGACUGGUACCUGAUCUAUAUAGGAAGAACAUGGUAUUCAGUAAAGCUGUAUGUAUAGAAUGUUGUGUAUAUACCAUGAUGGUUCAUACUUGGUUUUACAUCAAAUUGUUUUGCAUUGUCUUUGAUAGAUUAGAAAGGGCAAAGAAAUUACAAGAACAACGAGAAAAGGAAAUGGUUGAAAAACAAAAACAACAAGAAAUGGCUGCAGCAGCUGCAGCCACUGGAGGUUCUGUUCUUAAUGUUGCUGCACUCUUGGCAUCGGGAACGCAAGUUACUCCUCAGAUAGCUAUGGCAGCUCAAAUGGCAGCCCUGCAAGCUAAGGCCUUGGCAGAGACUGGCAUAGCUGUGCCCAGCUACUAUAACCCAGCAGCUGUGAAUCCCAUGAAAUUUGCUGAGCAAGAGAAAAAGAGGAAAAUGCUCUGGCAAGGCAAGAAAGAAGGCGUAAGUUCUUGUCUCCUUGUCAUGUCAACACUACUAGUUAAUUUCAUAAAAACAAGCUGAGAUUGGGGAUUUAGCUCAGUGGUAGAGUGCUUGCCUAGCAAGCGCAAGGCCCUGGGUUCAGUCCCCAGCUCCAGAAAAAAGAAAAAACAAAACAAAAUAAAAACAAGCUGAAAUGAAAGCUAUGGUUUCCAAGAACAACUUUUAUAAUAGUCAAGUUUGCAGUGGUUACUUAAAAUUGAAAAUGUGGGUGUUGGGGAUUUAGCUCAGUGGUAGAGCGCUUGUCUAGCAAGCGCAAGGCCCUGGGUUCGGUGCCCAGCUCCGGAAAAAAAGAAGAAAAAAAAUUGAAAAUG